GGACUACAGGGGUUUCUAAUCCUGUUUGCUCCCCUAGCUUUCGUUCCUCAGCGUCAGUAGUGGUCCAGCGCGCCGCUUUCGCCACGGGUGUUCCUGCAGAUAUCUACGCAUUUCACCGCUACACCUGCAAUUCCACGCGCCUCUCCCACACUCUAGCACAGCAGUUUCGGAAGCAGUCCCUGAGUUGAGCCCAAAGAUUUCACUCCCGACUUGCUACACCGCCUACGAACCCUUUACACCAGUAAUCCCGAGCAACGCUGGCCCCCUACGUCUUACCGCGGCUGCUGGCAC
rnacentral:rRNA from 1 species